rnacentral:rRNA from 1 species
AUUCUAAAUCUUUAUGAAGCUGCUUCAGGACAAGUGAUUAAUAAAGAUAAAUCAUCAAUACUAUUCAGUGCAAACACAAGGCAAGGGUUGAAGGAAAAAAUGAAAAGCAUUAUGCAAGUUACCUCUCAAGGUCUAUCCCCAAGAUAUCUUGGUGUUCCAUCCUAUGUGGGUAAGGCCAAAGCAAGAACCUUUGAGUAUGUAAAAGAGAGGGUGUGGAAAAAGAUC